CCGAAUGUGCCCUUCGGGGGAGAGAGUUAUCGCCAUUAGAGCGGCCCGCGUCUGAUUAGCUAGUUGGUGAGGUAAAGGCUACCAAGGCGACGAUCAGUAGCUGGUCUGAGAGGAUGUUUAGCCACAUCUGGGACUGAGACACGGCCCAAACUCCUACGGGAGGCAGCAGUGGGGAAUCUUGCGCAAUGGGCGAAAGCCUGACGCAGCCAUGCCGCGUGAAUGAUGAAGGUCUUAGGAUUGUAAAAUUCUUUUCACCGGGGACGAUAAUGACGGUACCCGGAGAAGAAGCCCCGGCUAACUUCGU
rnacentral:rRNA from 1 species